AUGGCGUACGCUAAGCUCGCAGCCCUGGCCAUGCUCGUGGUCCUACUGCAGGCGUCAACCGGCACCGCUGCCCGCUCGCCGCCGGCCGUUUCAACCUCCAAGACGGACGGCAUGCCAGCGGUGAUGACAGUCAACGGGUUCGAGCGCGGCGAGGACGGCGGCGGGCCGGCGGAGUGCGACGGCAAGUACCACAGCGACGACGACAUGCUGGUGGCGCUGUCGACGGGGUUGUACCAGGGCGGGGCCCGGUGCUUCAAGAUGAUCCGCAUCACCAGCGCGGGCACGGGGCGGAGCGCGGAGGCCAUGGUGGUGGACGAGUGCGACUCCAGGAAGGGAUGCAAGAACAACAUCGUCGACACCUCCAAGGCCGUGUGGAAGGCGCUCGGGCUCGACACCAACGUCGGCGAGGUGCCCGUCACAUGGUCCGACGUCUGA
rnacentral:rRNA from 1 species